GAUGAACGCUGGCGGCGUGCCUAAUACAUGCAAGUCGAGCGGACAGAUCAGGAGCUUGCUCCUCUGACGUUAGCGGCGGACGUGUGAGUAACAUGUGGAUAACCUCCCUAUAAGACUGGGAUAACUUCGGGAAACCGGCUCUUAUCCCGUAUAAUAUCUUGAACCGCAUGGUUCAAUGGUGAAAGUCGGUUUUGCUGUCUCUUAUAGAUGGAUCCGCGCGGCAUUAGCUGGUUGGUAAGGUAACGGCUUACCAAGGCGACGAUGCGUAGCCGACCGGAGAGGGUGGUCGGCCACACUGGAGCUGGGCCGCGGACCAGAGGCCUACGAGAGGCAGCAGUAGGCAAUCGUCCGCAGUGGGCGAAAACCUGACGGAACAACGCCGAGUGAGUUGUGGAGGUCUUCGGAUCGUAAAACUCUGUUAUUAGGGAAAAACAGAUGUGGAAGUAGCUAUGCACGUCUUGACGGUAACUGGUCAGAAAGCAACGGCUAACUACGUG
rnacentral:rRNA from 1 species